AGUGAACGCUGGCGGUAGGCCUAACACAUGCAAGUCGAACGGCAGCACAGUAAGAGCUUGCUCUUACGGGUGGCGAGUGGCGGACGGGUGAGGAAUACAUCGGAAUCUACUUUUUCGUGGGGGAUAACGUAGGGAAACUUACGCUAAUACCGCAUACGACCUACGGGUGAAAGCAGGGGAUCUUCGGACCUUGCGCUAUUGAAUGAGCCGAUGUCGGAUUAGCUAGUUGGCGGGGUAAAGGCCCACCAAGGCGACGAUCCGUAGCUGGUCUGAGAGGAUGAUCAGCCACACUGGAACUGAGACACGGUCCAGACUCCUACGGGAGGCAGCAGUGGGGAAUAUUGGACAAUGGGCGCAAGCCUGAUCCAGCCAUACCGCGUGGGUGAAGAAGGCCUUCGGGUUGUAAAGCCCUUUUGUUGGGAAAGAAAAGCAGCAGGUUAAUACCCUGCUGUUCUGACGGUACCCAAAGAAUAAGCACCGGCUAACUUCGUG
rnacentral:rRNA from 1 species